rnacentral:rRNA from 1 species
CAGUCGCCGCGGUAACACAGAGGAUGCAAGCGUUAUCCGGAAUGAUUGGGCGUAAAGCGUUUGUAGGUGGCUUUUCAAGUCCGCCGUCAAAUCCCAGGGCUCAACCCUGGAUAGGCGGUGGAAACUACCAAGCUGGAGUACGGUAGGGGCAGAGUGAAUUUUCGGUGGAGCGGUGAAAUGCGUUGAGAUCGGAAAGAACACCAACGGUGAAAGCACUCUGCUGGGCCGACACUGACACUGAGAGACGAAAGCUAGGGGAGCAAAUGGGAUUAGAUACCCGCGUAGUCCCUGUCUCUUAUAC